rnacentral:pre_miRNA from 1 species
GCAGAGAGAAUUCUGGAUUUAUCUGUGGGCUGGACGGUUAGAUGAUCUAGCACCAUAUAAAUUCAGCAUUUGAUCUA